UACGUAGGGUGCGAGCGUUAAUCGGAAUUACUGGGCGUAAAGCGUGCGCAGGCGGUUCGUUGUGUCGGUGGUGAAAGCCCCGAGCUUAACUUGGGAAUUGCGCUUGUGACUGGCGUGCUGGAGUGUGGCAGAGGGAGGUGGAAUUCCACGUGUAGCAGUGAAAUGCGUAGAGAUGUGGAGGAACACCGAUGGCGAAGGCAGCCUCCUGGGCCAGCACUGACGCUCAUGCACGAAAGCGUGGGGAGCAAACAGG
rnacentral:rRNA from 1 species